rnacentral:rRNA from 1 species
AACGAACGCUGGCGGCAUGCCUAACACAUGCAAGUCGAACGAGAACAUCGGGUCUAGUGGCGCACGGGGGCGUAACGCGUGGGAACAUGCCCUUAGGUUCGGAAUAACUCCCCGAAAGGGGUGCUAAUACCGGAUAAUGUCUUCGGACCAAAGAUUUAUCGCCUUUGGAUGGGCCGGCGUUGGAUUAGCUAGUUGGUAGGGUAAAAGCCUACGAAGGCGACGAUCCAUAGCUGGGAUGAGAGGAUGAUCAGCCACACUGGGAGUGAGACACGGCCCAGACUCCUACGGGAGGCAGCAGUGGGGAAUAUUGGAAAAUGGGCGAAAGCCUGAUCCAGCAAUGCCGCGAGAGUGAUGAAGGCCUUAGAGUUGUAAAGCUCUUUUACCCGGGAUGAUAAUGACAGUACCGGGAGAAUAAGCUCCGGCUAACUCCGUG